rnacentral:rRNA from 1 species
GAGUUUGAUUAUGGCUCAGGAUGAACGCUAGCGGCGGGCCUAAUACAUGCAAGUCGAACGGGAAUGGUAGCAAUACCAUGAGAGUGGCGAACGGGUGCGUAACACGUAUAGAAUCUGCCCAUUACACGGGGAUAGCCUUUCGAAAGGGAGAUUAAUACCCGAUAGCACUGCGAGGAGGCAUCUUGUUGCAGUUAAAGUUUCGGCGGUAAUGGAGGACUAUGCGUCCGAUUAGCUAGUUGGUAGUGUAAGGGACUACCAAGGCUACGAUCGGUAGGGGUUCUGAGAGGAUGAUCCCCCACACUGGUACUGAGAUACGGACCAGACUCCUACGGGAGGCAGCAGUAGGGAAUAUUGGGCAAUGGACGGAAGUCUGACCCAGCCACGCCGCGUGCAGGAAGACGGUCCUCUGGAUUGUAAACUGCUUUUGUAUAGGAAGAAAAAGCCUUUGCGAAGGAACUUGCCGGUACUAUACGAAUAAGCAUCGGCUAACUCCGUGCCAGCAGCCGCGGUAAUACGGAGGAUGCGAGCGUUGUCCGGAAUUACUGGGUUUAAAGGGUGCGUAGGCGGGUAUAUAAGUGAGAGUUGAAAGGCAGUUGCUCAACAAUUGUAAGGCUCUCAUACUGUAUAUCUUGAGUGUGUUGGAGGCAGAUGGAAUGGU